rnacentral:lncRNA from 1 species
AGUCUUCAACAUAGAUCUUUUCUAAUCUUUUUUGAACCAAAAUCUUGUAGAUUCUAUUCUGUACCAAUAGAUCCUUCAUUGUUUGCUGUCAAAGGCUGAAGUUAUCCUUGCCAUCAAAUUUUUCAAAAUUUGUCUUAAUGAUACUCGAUGCUAUCUUAACCAGAUCUCCAAAAACAAACAUCAAAAAUAAAAUACAGUAUUCAAGAAAAAUCUGUUUAGCACCUUACCACAAUCCAGAUGCAACUUUGAUCUUUUCUCCAUCAGAUCUAACUCCAGGGCUCUG